UAGGGAAUCUUCCGCAAUGGGCGAAAGCCUGACGGAGCAACGCCGCGUGAGUGAUAAAGGCCUUCGGAUCGUAAAACUCUGUUAUUAGGGAAGAACAAAUGUGUAAGUAACUAUGCACGUCUUGACGGUACCUAAUCAGAAAGCCACGGCUAACUACGUGCCAGCAGCCGCGGUAAUACGUAGGUGGCAAGCGUUAUCCGGAAUUAUUUGGCGUAAAGCGCGCGUAGGCGGUUUUUUAAGUCUGAUGUGAAAGCCCACGGCUCAACCGUGGAGGGUCAUUGGAAACUGGAACACUUGAGUGCAGAAGAGGAAAGUGGAAUUCCAUGUGUAGCGGUGAAAUGCGCAGAGAUAUGGAGGAACACCAGUGGCGAAGGCGACUUUCUAGUCUGUAACUGACGCUGAUGUGCGAAAGCGUGGGGAUCGAACAGG
rnacentral:rRNA from 1 species